rnacentral:rRNA from 1 species
GUACACUCCUACGGGAGGCAGCAGUGGGGAAUUUUGGACAAUGGGCGAAAGCCUGAUCCAGCAAUGCCGCGUGUGUGAAGAAGGCCUUCGGGUUGUAAAGCACUUUUGUCCGGAAAGAAAUCCUUGGCUCUAAUACAGUCGGGGGAUGACGGUACCGGAAGAAUAAGCACCGGCUACUACGUGCCAGCAGCCGCGGUAAUACGUAGGGUGCGAGCGUUAAUCGGAAUUACUGGGCGUAAAGCGUGCGCAGGCGGUUUGCUAAGACCGAUGUGAAAUCCCCGGGCUCAACCUGGGAACUGCAUUGGUGACUGGCAGGCUAGAGUAUGGCAGAGGGGGGUAGAAUUCCACGUGUAGCAGUGAAAUGCGUAGAGAUGUGGAGGAAUACCGAUGGCGAAGGCAGCCCCCUGGGCCAAUACUGACGCUCAUGCACGAAAGCGUGGGGAGCAAACAGGAUUAGAUACCCCUGUAGUCCCAUGA